UUAUUUAGGUGUUCUAGUGCAAGUAGUAUAAGUUGGUGAGAAAUAUGAGCAUCUUUUAGUUCCUCAAUGGGAGAAGGCUACUUAUAAGGAGAAAAUGGUUUUCUCUAUCCAUCUAAAUUUACCUGCUAUUAUCUAAGCUUUGUUACACAAAAGGAUACCUCCAGUUGUGUACACAGAAAGAUCUUAAGCAUCUGAAAGAGAUUUGAUUUAAAAUCCUUGUUUGAACCAGUUCUGCUAGAUUAGCUUUUGAAAAGGAGAAAGCUCAAUCAUAUCUUGACAAGAAUUGGAGAGGAAAAUUUAGUAUGAGAUCCUAAAUAGUUUCUUUGCCCUGAUAAGUUUGCAUUAUGUUGGCAUUAUUGCAU
rnacentral:lncRNA from 1 species